rnacentral:rRNA from 1 species
CCUACGGGAGGCAGCAGUGAGGAAUAUUGGUCAAUGGGCGCGAGCCUGAACCAGCCAAGUAGCGUGAAGGAUGACUUCCCUACGGGUUGUAAACUUCUUUUAUAAAGGAAUAAAGUGAGGCACGUUUGCCUUUUUGUAUGUACUUUAUGAAUAAGGCUCGGCUAACUCCGUGCCAGCAGCAGCGGUAAUACGUAGGAUCCGAGCGUUAUCCGGAUUUAUUGGGUUUAAAGGGAGCGUAGAUGGGUUGUUAAGUCAGUUGUGAAAGUUUGCGGCGCAACGGUAAGAUUGCAAUUGAUACUGGCAGUCUUGAGUGCAGUUGAGGUAGGCGGAAUUCGUGGUGUAGCGG